ensembl:lncRNA
UCUUAUUUCUCUGCCCAGAAUAAGUUUCCUGCCACUAUUAAAGCUCAGAAAGACCUGCUUAUUCGUCCCAGGAAAAAAUGAUUGUAACCAGUUACAUCCAACUAGUUAUGACUUAAAGUGAAUCCCUCUUCAGUUUGGAGAAUAAGAAGAAUAUUGAUCAUGCAAAGUAGAGAGCUGCAGUUUAGGCAGAGCAUGGUGGGAAUAGCUCACUCCUGCUCCACCAGGUUCAGCUGGGGUGACUUGAAGAUGAGACCUGGAAUUACCUGCAGGCUCGCUCACUCAUCAGUGGUGGUGAGCUGCUGCCAGUUGAGACUUUAGCUGGGGCACUUAGCCAGAAUGCCUACACACAGCCUCUCCAUGUGACCUGGGCUUCCUCACAACGUCGUCCUUGGAUUCCAAGGGUGAACAUCCCAAGAGAGAGAGCCAGAUGGAACCCUUAUGACCUUGCCUUGGAAAACCUUAAAGAUCCUUGGAGGUGGCUUGAAAGCCAAUUUUGGGAGCCAGAACUGGAGAGAGGACUGAGGGAGUCUUCGAGAGAUCCAGACACUUCCUCACCUCCUAUUUCGACUGCAACAGCUUCUCUUUGAACUUUCUAUAAAUUGGAAUUCUGCGGAGGGAUUGGUUUUAAAAGGGGGUUCUGCUUCUUUUAAAAAAUUAUCUGGCGUAGACCAGUGUGCCAAAAAUAACUGCAGUGUUUAAAUUAAACCAUUAUAGAAUCUACUCUUAAAUUAACUGUUAGACUUCCUAAGACCCAAGGGAGUGAACAAAGUUGGCUGUUGUGAAGAAAGAAGCUGACAAACGACGUGGCCCCACGUUGAAGCAGCAAAAGAUUCUGGAAGGCAGCUGCUCCAUGGAGCUUUUCUGAGCAUGCUCUCCAAGUCCUAUAGCGGAGUUCCUUAAUUCCUAGAGGACGCUCUUGCAUUCUUGGCUGUUUUCUGUAGUAAGGUGACCACUGACCAUUUUGACUGCUUCAGAUCAGUUUUGUGCUUUGACUUCAAAUGUCAAAGCACAUUUGUAUGUGCUUUGAGAAAUGUAAUGAGAGAUCUGUGUUCACAGGGCACAUAGUAGUUUGAGAAAUGUGCUCAAUAAAUGCUUGUUGUUGAUUGAAUACAUAGUUUUGAAAAUAAUAUUUAACUUUUCUUCUAGAAUACUAACUGGACUCAGAGACUGACCACAGUCACUUGUGACAGUAUCUAACUAGACAUUGUCCUAUUUUCUCCCUAAAAUCCAACUUCAUUACUUUAUGAAUUUCAACCUAACAUCUACCUGUGCUUAGAGGUUUUGCUUUAAUGGAAGAAACAAUCCAUUAUAUAGACUGCAAAUGUUCUCAUAUUUAUCACAGGUAAAUAAAGGAAACUGUCUUUAGAAUAAAGUUUAUUUUUAUUAAGUAUUAGCUCCUAGUUGUUUAAUUUUUAUAAAGGACUCAUUAGAGGAGCAUCCUUGUUGGUUGGCUGUUUUGAUGUUAUUUUCCUCUUAAUUUUAUCCUAAAAAAGAUAGAGUGUAAAUAAUAAUACUAUAUAUUUGUAUCUUGAUUUGUAGUUUAUCAAAUAUUACAUCUGUUUGUCAUAACAAUCCUGAAAAGUAUGUAUUAUUAUCUCCACUUUAAAGAUGAGUGAAAUAGCUAAAUCACUAGUUCAGUGUCCUAUACCCAGCACCUAGCACUGUUUACCUGCAUUUUUAGGGCGGGUGUGUUUAGUUAAGAGACAACGAGUAGGUAACUGUUCUUAACCCUGGAU